AUGAUGCUGAGGGCGCGGCGAGCGGCGGGGCCGCUUCUCCGCCUCGCCGACGCAGACGCCGUUGGCGAGAGGAUUUGCGGCGGCGCGCAGCCCGCGCGCGCGGUGUUCGCCCGCGGGUUCCUGGAUUUCUUCAAGACGUGGAGCAAGGAGACCGCCGAGGAUGCGGAGAAGAAGGCAAAGGCGAAGUGCAGUACUGAUGAGAUGAGCAGGGGGUACUUCCAGGACAUCUCCGAGAUCCGUAAGAACGCCGGCAAGAUUGCGGUGGCGAGUAAGACCAUUAUCCCAGAGGUCGCUGCCGUGAAGUUCCCUAAUCUUGCUUUGGAGUCCCCUGCUGGCAGAGCAUUGCAACUGCCGCUUGUUGCGUCUCCACCGCUAGACGGUAGUCAUGGGGCUGGUGGUACAGUGCCGGUGGUUCCUGAUGCGGCACUGGUGUGCCUUUCGUUUCGUGCAAGCUCGCAGAAAAUGGCAGAGUCGUGGAGUCUACCUUUUCUUGAUGCAUUUGGUGCUACUGGAAAAGUUGAAGCGUAUGAGGUCUCAUUUAUAGAUUCAUGGCUGUUAUCAUCAAGUCCCGUGAGGCGUGCAUUCCUGAAGACGAUGAGGAAAUCGGACAAUCCACAAAGACAUGCCGUCUAUGCCUUUGGAGACCACUAUGACUUUAGGAAGGAGCUUCAAAUUGUAAACCUUCUUACCGGGUACAUAUACCUGAUUGAUCGCCUGGGUAGGAUAAGAUGGCAGGGCUUUGGAGCUGCAACGCAGGAAGAGUUGUCAUCGCUAACAGCGUGUGCCUCCAUCUUGUUAGAUGAGAAAUGA
rnacentral:rRNA from 1 species